CACGUAGGGGCCAAGCGUUGUCCGGAUUUAUUGGGCGUAAAGAGCUCGUAGGCGGUUCGACAAGUCGGGUGUGAAAACUCCGGGCUCAACCCGGAGACGCCACCCGAUACUGUCGUGACUGGAGUCCGGUAGGGGAGUGGGGAAUUCCUGGUGUAGCGGUGAAAUGCGCAGAUAUCAGGAGGAACACCGGUGGCGAAGGCGGUUCUCUGGGCAUGUACUGACGCUGAGGUGCGAAAGCGUGGGGAGCAAACAGG
rnacentral:rRNA from 1 species